UACGUAGGGAGCAAGCGUUGUUCGGAUUUACUGGCGUAAAGGGCGCGUAGGCGGCAUAUUAAGUCAUCUGUGAAAUCUCCGAGCUUAACUCGGAACUGUCAGCUGAUACUGAUGUGCUAGAGUGCGGAAGGGGCAUCGGAAUUCUUGGUGUAGCGGUGAAAUGCGUAGAUAUCAAGAGGAACACCUGAGGUGAAGACGGGUUGCUGGCCGACACGUGACGCUGAGUGCGCG
rnacentral:rRNA from 1 species